rnacentral:rRNA from 1 species
UACAGAGGCCUCGAGCGUUAGGCGGAAUCACUGGGCUUAAAGCGUGUGUAGGCGGACUUCUAAGUACCUUGUGAAAUCCCACAGCUUAACUGUGGAACUGCUUGGUAUACUGGUUGUCUUGAGGUACCUAGGGGCGAGCGGAACAAGUGGUGGAGCGGUGAAAUGCGUAGAUAUCACUUCGAACGCCAACGGUGAAAACAGCUCGCUGGGGGUAUCCUGACGCUGAGACACGAAAGCCAGGGGAGCAAACGGG